CCUACGGGAGGCAGCAGUGAGGAAUAUUGGUCAAUGGACGCAAGUCUGAACCAGCCAUGCCGCGUGCAGGAAGACUGCUCUAUGAGUUGUAAACUGCUUUUGUACGAGAAUAAACGCAGAUACGCGUGUCUUUCUGAAAGUAUCGUACGAAUAAGGAUCGGCUAACUCCGUGCCAGCAGCCGCGGUAAUACGGAGGAUUCAAGCGUUAUCCGGAUUUAUUGGGUUUAAAGGGUGCGUAGGCGGUCGGAUAAGUUAGAUGUGAAAGCCUGAGGCUCAACUUCGGAAUUGCCUUUGAUACUGGUCGGCUAGAGAGUAGUUGCGGUAGGCGGAAUGUAUGGUGUAGCGGUGAAAUGCUUAGAGAUCAUACAGAACACCGAUUGCGAAGGCAGUUUACCAAGCUACUUCUGACGCUGAGGCACGAAAGCGUGGGGAGCAAACAGGAUUAGAUACCCCAGUAGUC
rnacentral:rRNA from 1 species